UACGUAGGGUGCAAGCGUUAAUCGGAAUUACUGGGCGUAAAGCGUGCGCAGGCGGUGAUGUAAGACAGGUGUGAAAUCCCCGGGCUUAACCUGGGAACUGCAUUUGUGACUGCAUCGCUGGAGUGCGGCAGAGGGGGAUGGAAUUCCGCGUGUAGCAGUGAAAUGCGUAGAUAUGCGGAGGAACACCGAUGGCGAAGGCAAUCCCCGUGGGCCUGCACUGACGCUCAGUGCACGAAAGCGUGGGGAG
rnacentral:rRNA from 1 species